rnacentral:rRNA from 1 species
GAUGAACGCUGGCUACAGGCUUAACACAUGCAAGUCGAGGGGAAACGACGGGGAAGCUUGCUUCCCCGGGCGUCGACCGGCGCACGGGUGAGUAACGCGUAUCCAACCUGCCUCUGACUGAGGGAUAACCCGUCGAAAGUCGGCCUAAUACCUCAUGGCAUCGUCUGCGGGCAUCCAACGACGAUUAAAGAUUUCAUCGGUCAGGGAUGGGGAUGCGUCUGAUUAGCUUGUUGGCGGGGUAACGGCCCACCAAGGCUACGAUCAGUAGGGGUUCUGAGAGGAAGGUCCCCCACAUUGGAACUGAGACACGGUCCAAACUCCUACGGGAGGCAGCAGUGAGGAAUAUAGGUCAAUGGGCGGGAGCCUGAACCAGCCAAGUAGCGUGCAGGAUGACGGCCCUAUGGGUUGUAAACUGCUUUUAUGCGGGGAUAAAGUGAGGGACGUGUCCUUCAUUGCAGGUACCGCAUGAAUAAGGACCGGCUAAUUCCG